rnacentral:sRNA from 1 species
AUGGAUCCUCGGUAGGCGAGGCGUCCGCGCGGCAUACAGGCCACUGCCCUCCGGCGUCGAAAGAUGUUCGUCAGGGUUUACCAGGGACUCCCGGGUUAAGGGUUUCUCUAACGUGGCUGGGGUCUUGCUCGCCAAACGCGAGUUCGGAUCUCUUACGGCGUGCGGUGCUGAAGCUUGGACCAGUGGGGGAAUCC